rnacentral:rRNA from 1 species
UGAGCAACCUGCCCUUGACUUUGGAAUAACAGCUGGAAACAGCUGCUAAUACCGGAUACGACCUCCGAUGGCAUCAUCUGGAGGUGGAAAGCUCCGACGGUCAAGGAUGGGCUCGCGGCCUAUCAGCUUGUUGGUGAGGUAACGGCUCACCAAGGCUUCGACGGGUAGCCGGCCUGAGAGGGCGACCGGCCACACGUGGGACUGAGAUACCGGCCCAGACCUCCGUAGGGAGG